rnacentral:rRNA from 1 species
CUUAGUGGCCAUAGCGCGGUGGUCCCACCUGAUCCCAUGCCGAACUCAGAAGUGAAACGCCGUAGCGCCGAUG